CCUACGGGGGGCUGCAGUCGAGGAUAUUUAGCAAUGGACGAAAGUCUGACUAUGUGACGCCGCGUGAGGGAUGAAGGUUUUCGGAUCGUAAACCUCUUUCGAUGGGGAAGAAACCUCUAUUUAACUAAUAGAGCUGACGGUACCUAGAGAAGAAGCCACGGCCAACUCCGUGCCAGCAGCCGCGGUAAUACGGGGGUGGCGAGCGUUACUCGGAUUUAUUGGGUGUAAAGGGCAGGUAGGUGUCCCACUAAGUUAGAAGUGAAAUCCUGCAGCUUAACUGCAGAACUGCUUUUAAAACUGAUGGGAUUGAGGACAGGAGAGGAGAGCGGAAUUCCCGGUGUAAGGGUGAAAUCUGUAGAGAUCGGGAGGAACACCUGUGGCGAAAGCGGCUCUCUGGUCUGUCCCUGACGCUGAACUGCGAAAGCUAGGGGAGCAAACAGGCUUAGAUACCCGUGUAGUC
rnacentral:rRNA from 1 species